CCUACGGGGGGCUGCAGUGGGGAAUAUUGGACAAUGGGCGCAAGCCUGAUCCAGCCAUGCCGCGUGAGUGAUGAAGGCCCUAGGGUUGUAAAGCUCUUUUGUGCGGGAAGAUAAUGACGGUACCGCAAGAAUAAGCCCCGGCUAACUUCGUGCCAGCAGCCGCGGUAAUACGAAGGGGGCUAGCGUUGCUCGGAAUCACUGGGCGUAAAGCGCACGUAGGCGGACUCUUAAGUCAGAGGUGAAAUCCUGGAGCUCAACUCCAGAACUGCCUUUGAUACUGGGAGUCUCGAGUUCGGGAGAGGUGAGUGGAACUGCGAGUGUAGAGGUGAAAUUCGUAGAUAUUCGCAAGAACACCAGUGGCGAAGGCGGCUCACUGGCCCGAUACUGACGCUGAGGUGCGAAAGCGUGGGGAGCAAACAGGAUUAGAUACCCGUGUAGUC
rnacentral:rRNA from 1 species